rnacentral:rRNA from 2 species
AGACCCGAAACCCGGUGAUCUAGCCAUGGGCAGGUUGAAGGUUGGGUAACACUAACUGGAGGACCGAACCGACUAAUGUUGAAAAAUUAGCGGAUGACCUGUGGCUGGGGGUGAAAGGCCAAUCAAACCGGGAGAUAGCUGGUUCUCCCCGAAAGCUAUUUAGGUAGCGCCUCGUGAAUUCAUCUCCGGGGGUAGAGCACUGUUUCGGCUAGGGGGCCAUCCCGGCUUACCAACCCGAUGCAAACUGCGAAUACCGGAGAAUGUUAUCACGGGAGACACACGGCGGGUGCUAACGUCCGUCGUGAAGAGGGAAACAACCCAGACCGCCAGCUAAGGUCCCAAAGUCAUGGUUAAGUGGGAAACGAUGUGGGAAGGCCCAGACAGCCAGGAUGUUGGCUUAGAAGCAGCCAUCAUUUAAAGAAAGCGUAAUAGCUCACUGGUCGAGUCGGCCUGCGCGGAAGAUGUAACGGGGCUAAACCAUGCACCGAAGCUGCGGCAGCGACGCUGAUGCGUUGUUGGGUAGGGGAGCGUUCUGUAAGCCUGUGAAGGUGGCCUGUGAGGGUUGCUGGAGGUAUCAGAAGUGCGAAUGCUGACAUAAGUAACGAUAAAGCGGGUGAAAAGCCCGCUCGCCGGAAGACCAAGGGUUCCUGUCCAACGUUAAUCGGGGCAGGGUGAGUCGACCCCUAAGGCGAGGCCGAAAGGCGUAGUCGAUGGGAAACGGGUUAAUAUUCCCGUACUUGGUGUUACUGCGAAGGGGGGACGGAGAAGGCUAUGUUGGCCGGGCGACGGUUGUCCCGGUUUAAGCGUGUAGGUGUGUGUUCCAGGUAAAUCCGGUUCACUUUAACACUGAGGC